rnacentral:lncRNA from 1 species
UUUAGUAGAGACGAGGUUUUCAGCAUGAUGGCCAGGUGGCUGGGAUUCCCCCGCCUCGCCCCAGAUCCCCGGGAGAGCCAGCACGGCCCUCCCGUGGGUGCUACAGAGACAGAUGCGAUGCGGGUCCCUCUCCCUGGGAAGGGGCGGGCUGGGUCCAGUCCGCAGGGCCCCUCCGGGCGCUGACCUAGGAUGGAGUUGAGGUGCGGCGGCGCUGGACCCCAGGGCCCCUGCCUGCCCUGGGGAGCCGGGUGACCCAGGCAGCCCCGAUGAGGCCCACCGGGCUCCCACAGGGGGGAUGCGGACAGGGAGACUGGGGAGGCCUCCGCUGGACUGUCCCCUCCAGCCCCCAGCUUUCCGUGGUUGUAAGGGCCCCCUCUGCAGAGGGAUCAGGGAGCCCGCUCUGCAUCCUGAGGCGCCGCGCUUGAGGGACCCCAGAGCUCGGCCAGGCCGCUUCCUUUGGGGAUGGUGAAGCUGAGGUCCAGAGGAGGGCAGCGGCAGGUCCUGGAAUGCUCCCCAGGCAAAGGGAGCCGAUCUCGGGGCUGGGGUCACAGGGCUCCACUCCUGCCACCUCUAGGGCCCUAGAGCCGGGAGGAGAGACUGGGUACCUUUGGUCUACCGCUGGGGCUGGGCAGAGGCUCAGCCUGUGCCGCAACGCGAAGCUGCUUCUGUGCAGUCCGAGCCGCGGCCCCUUUAAGAGGGGGUGGUGCUGCAGCCAGUCGCUAUGACGCUAUUGGUGUGCGCGCCUCUACGGAAGCCGAGACGGCGCUUUCCGCGGGGCCCCGGCGGAACCGGCAGCGUCUUUGAAGCGAGCGGAAGCGGCGGCCAUGUGGUCGGAGCGAGCAAAAGCGGCGGCCACAGUGGGCGGCGUAGUCCUAAUGAGCAGAAGCGCAGUCGGCUUCCCAGCGAGCCGAAGCUAUCGCGCGGUCCCAGCCGGCAAAAGUGGAGUAGGUGUCCAGCGAGCAGAAGUGGCGGCGUCCAGAAGCGGCGAGCUUCGGAGAAGCUGUGGUGGCUUCCAUGUGAUGGGGGAGCAGGAUCGAGGCUUCCGCGGUUCAUCUGGGUUGCUCCACAUGACACUGUUUAA